AAGAUUCUGGAAACAGCUCUGCCGC
rnacentral:piRNA from 1 species